rnacentral:rRNA from 1 species
CCUACGGGGGGCAGCAGUGAGGAAUAUUGGUCAAUGGUCGGGAGACUGAACCAGCCAAGCCGCGUGAGGGAUGAAGGUACAGAGUAUCGUAAACCUCUUUUGUCAGGGAACAAAGGCGGGGACGCGUCCCCGGAUGAGGGUACCUGAAGAAAAAGCAUCGGCUAACUCCGUGCCAGCAGCCGCGGUAAUACGUAGGGAGCAAGCGUUAUCCGGAUUUACUGGGUGUAAAGGGCGUGUAGGCGGGCCUGCAAGUCAGAAGUGAAAUCUGGGGGCUUAACCCCCAAACUGCUUUUGAAACUGUGGGG